ACACUGAUGGUGAAGCGGUUAUCAUGCUUGCCUUCCACGGGAAUAUUCAAAAAACCAGCAAGCGGCAGGGGUUCGACUCCCCUUCAGUGUA